rnacentral:rRNA from 1 species
UACGUAGGUGACCAGCGUUGUCCGGAUUUACUGGGCGUAAAGAGCGCGCAGGCGGUCGUUCAAGUCGAGUGUGAAAGCCCCCGGCUCAACUGGGGAGGGUCAUUCGAUACUGAUCGACUUGAAGGCAGGAGAGGGAAGUGGAAUUCCCGGUGUAGUGGUGAAAUGCGUAGAUAUCAGGAGGAACACCAGUGGCGAAGGCGGUUCUCUGGGCAUGUCCUGAC